rnacentral:rRNA from 1 species
AGAGUUUGAUCCUGGCUCAGGAUGACCUCUGGCGGCGUGCCUAACACAUGCAAGUCGAACGGGUGUACGGGAUGGAAGGCUCCGGCCGGAAGCCCCGUGCAUGAGUGGCGGACGGGUGAGUAACGCGUGGGCAACCUGCCCUGUACAGGGGGACAACACUUAGAAAUAGGUGCUAAUACCGCAUAACGGGGGGAGCCGCAUGGCACCCCCCUGAAAACUCCGGUGGUACAGGAUGGGCCCGCGUCUGAUUAGCUAGUUGGCAGGGUAACGGCCUACCAAGGCGACGAUCAGUAGCCGGCCUGAGAGGGCGGACGGCCACACUGGGACUGAGACACGGCCCAGACUCCUACGGGAAGCAGCAGUGGGGGAUAUUGCACAAUGGGGGGAACCCUGAUGCAGCGACGCCGCGUGGGUGAAGGAGCGUUUCGGCGCGUAAAGCCCUAUCGGCAGGGAAGAAGGAGGACGGUACCUGACUAAGAAGCCCCGGCUAACUACGUGCCAGCAGCCGCGGUAAUACGUAGGGGGCAAGCGUUAUCCGGAUCUACUGGGUGUAAAGGGAGCGUAGACGGCAUAGCAAGUCUGAAGUGAAAGCCCGUGGCUCAACCGCGGAACUGCUUUGGAAACUGUUAAGCUGGAGUACUGGAGAGGCAAGCGGAAUUCCUAGUGUAGCGGUGAAAUGCGUAGAUAUUAGGAGGAACACCAGUGGCGAAGGCGGCUUGCUGGACAGAGACUGACGUUGAGGCUCGAAAGCGUGGGGAGCAAACGGGAUUAAAUACCCUGGUAGUCCACCCCGGAAACCGAUGAAUGCUAGGGGGUUGGCGGGGCAAAGCCCCUUCGGUGCCCCCCCCCAACCCAUUAAGCAUUCCCACCUGGGGAAGUACGUUUCCCAAGAAUGAAACUCCAAAGGAAUUGACGGGGGACCCCCCACAAGCGGUGGAACCAUGUGGUUUAAUUCGAAGCAACGCGAAGACCCUUACCAAGUCUUGACAUCCCAAUGAAUGUCUGGGUAAAGCAGGCAGACCUUCGGGACAUUUGGAGACAGGUGGUGCAUGGUUGUCGUCAGCUCGUGUCGUGAGAUGUUGGGUUAAGUCCCGCAACGAGCGCAACCCUUAUCCUUAGUAGCCAGCGAGUAGAGUCGGGCACUCUGGGGAGACUGCCAGGGAGAACCUGGAGGAAGGUGGGGAUGACGUCAAAUCAUCAUGCCCCUUAUGAUUUGGGCUACACACGUGCUACAAUGGCGUAAACAAAGGGAAGCGAAGUGGCGACAUGGAGCGAACCCCAAAAAUAACGUCUCAGUUCGGAUUGUAGUCUGCAACUCGACUACAUGAAGCUGGAAUCGCUAGUAAUCGCGGAUCAGAAUGCCGCGGUGAAUACGUUCCCGGGUCUUGCACACACCGCCCGUCA